rnacentral:tRNA from 1 species
GCAGGUAUAGUUUAUCGGUAGAAUAUGAGCUUCCCAAGCUUAGGAGGCGGGUUCGAUUCCCGCUACCUGCU